CCUACGGGAGGCAGCAGUGGGGAAUAUUGCACAAUGGGCGCAAGCCUGAUGCAGCCAUGCCGCGUGUGUGAAGAAGGCCUUCGGGUUGUAAAGCACUUUCAGCGGGGAGGAAGGCGGUGAGGUUAAUAACCUCAUCGAUUGACGCUACCCGCAGAAGAAGCACCGGCUAACUCCGUGCCAGCAGCCGCGGUAAUACGGAGGGUGCAAGCGUUAAUCGGAAUUACUGGGCGUAAAGCGCACGCAGGCGGUCUGUCAAGUCGGAUGUGAAAUCCCCGGGCUCAACCUGGGAACUGCAUUCGAAACUGGCAGGCUAGAGUCUUGUAGAGGGGGGUAGAAUUCCAGGUGUAGCGGUGAAAUGCGUAGAGAUCUGGAGGAAUACCGGUGGCGAAGGCGGCCCCCUGGACAAAGACUGACGCUCAGGUGCGAAAGCGUGGGGAGCAAACAGGAUUAGAUACCCCUGUAGUC
rnacentral:rRNA from 1 species